AAAUGUUUGGAAAGUUUGGUUCGGUUUUAGUUCGAUUGUUUUGAUUCUUGGUUUGGUUCGAGUAACAAAAUUGUUAAAAUAAUAUCAUAAUAUUAGAACUUAGUUUCAAUACAUUCCAGUACAUAUCUAGAAAACAAAUAUUAUUAUAACUUAGUUUCAAUCUUUCAUUUUUAACUUAGCUUUAAUCUUUGAAUGAGAAAAUCUAAGAAUAUAUACUAUUAAAAACAUCAUUUCUUAAAAAUAA
rnacentral:lncRNA from 1 species